UAUAGUUCAUUUCUAUUGUUCUCUAUAGUAAUUCGUAUGUUUUAUUGACAGUGUCGAUCUGAUCGUGCAUUCAGACAUGGUUGAUGUUAUCCUCAAUAACCGUAUCGACCUCUUUGCCGUCAUCCAUCACCUCAGUUCAUUCCUGGCAAACCAGUAUUCGAAUCUUUUCGGCAGCGUUGUUUUUUAGUCGAAAAGAAAAAGGGGGUCAUUCUAAAGCCUAGAUAUUGGAGCUCUGAUGUGAAAUAGAAGAACAUAUACCUCUCCUGCUGAGGAGAUCGUGGGAAUGUAACUAUUCGCGUGUUUAUUCUGUAAUAUAUUUUUUUUACAAUCAAAUCCGCAAAAAUAGAUGUGCCGAGGUCAGAAAUUACCGAACCCAUUGCCUGCCUGUUCGCCAAUGUCUGCAAGUACUUCAUCAACUUCUAGAGUGACCAAUAUAAGAUUAUUCUGGUGUAGAUAUCUCGAGUGCUUUGAAUUACAUAUGUCAUGACAUUGUAGAUAGACAGCUGCCUCGGCGAUGCAGUACCGACUCAACAGUUGCUACAUGAUGCAUUUUGAGUGCUACUGCUUUCGAGUAGUCAGACUCGAGCUAGCCUUUGCUGGAAGAUACACGUAAAUCGUUUGACGAUAAGUAUGUUCGUACAUUGUUCAAGAUUAUGUUUAUCAUUUGUCGUAAUAAGAAAGUUUGUUGCAUUCUGCGAACAUCCAGUGACGAUGCAGUCGGAGAAUCAUCGUGAGUAAAGGUAAAUAAAAGACACGGUGGAGUGGUACGUACGCUAUGUCGUCACAUCCUGAUGAUGCGACAGUGAAACUCUCGACCUCGAUCUUGUGACUGAGGUCGUAUAAUCAUGGUUCAUGGCAUAAUCAAACUCCUGGUGAUCGCAUACGUGCAUGGUUAACCCAUUGGCCGUUAAGAAUGUUAUGAAGACGUUAAAGAAUCUUGCAAUGACGGGAGCCUUCGAUGAUGAUGAUGUGUUGAGGGGGUUAAGGAUGACUUGGUUUUGGUGUCUCGAUGCUAUAAGACCGGGGAUCAAUGAUGAUGCAUGGGAACUUGGGAGUGGAGAUGACAGGUAAUCAAGAGAAAAUAGGUCGAGAUCACCAUGAAUUCGUCGAUGUUGACUUCGGAUCAUUGAUAAACUGGUCAACAAUCCUGAAACCUCAGAUGUAUGUAUGACAGGGACACCUCUCUCCAAUAGUGACUGCGUUUGUAUUUAAUAAAUUUUAGUCAUGGUACAUCAAAGCAAUGACAGAACCUUUGGUAUAUUUGGUAAAACACAAAUUCAAGUGCAAAGCUCUAAAUAACUCAUAAGGCCAUUAUUUAGAAAAUUAUCAGAGCCCAUAUCUUUGGGGUUGGUUUUCUCUAUUACAACAAGACUUCUCGGAUUGUGAUAGGUUUACUUUAAUUUGAUAUUUGAAACAAAUAGACAUUUGAAAUGGAAUCCUUUCAUAUUCGUUGUGCUGGGAAGAAAUGUCAUAGAAUUGCCACAUUUUCAUGCAACUCUGGUUGUCACGUAAUCAGUACAGCAUAUGGGAAAACGCUCGACAGUGUCCGAAUUUUCAUAUCAAGUAUUACCAUUGGAGAUAAACUCACAAAUAAUGGUAACUCUUUCGAUUCCGUCGCCCGCCGCCUUUCCCCUUCAAAUUUCUAAUUCUUCUUCAGUCGGACAGAGAAGUGUCACAAAGGGACAAAGAAGGGUUUCAAGUUUCGCAAAUCGUGUGAAUGUAAAAGAUUUCUUCCCCACUCCCCUUUCCUCGCUCUCACUCAAUUUCUCCAACAUCUUACAUUCAUCCCCUCCCCUCUCCCCUUCCUUUCCCCUUCCCUUCGUUUCUUCACAUUCGAUGGGAGUCGGUGCACCUCGUUUAGACCCACAUAAAUUACUCUAUUAUGCGCAUGUUUGAGUUCAAAUAGAGGAAAGAAAGCGAUGAAAGAAGAAGCGAUUGAGAGGCUUGGAUGGAACACACGAGCGACGUUGCAUCUCUCUCGGUCAACCCACCCGUAUCUUACCCCCUCAUUCUCCCAUCCGACGCAGCCUUUUCUACAGUACCAGAAAGUAAUGUGUUUACUUUUACCUUAUACUUUGACAUACAGGUUUAUUAUACGUUUGAUUAUUUUCACAUUAUAUGAUUAACGUAGGAUCACUUAAAACAAUAUUUUUUUGUAGAUAUAAGAUAAAAAUUAAAUUGAAUUUAUCAAAAAAUUAAUGUACAACUAUUACCAAAAUUGUAUAUUACAAUGAGGAUAAGAUAAGCAUGUUUCACGAGGCAAAGUACAUUCAUAUUUCAUUUUUGCUUUUACUGUUAAUAAUUUU